GACGAACGCUGGCGGCGUGCCUAAUACAUGCAAGUAGAACGCACAGUUUAUACCGUAGCUUGCUACACCAUAGACUGUGAGUUGCGAACGGGUGAGUAACGCGUAGGUAACCUGCCUGGUAGCGGGGGAUAACUAUUGGAAACGAUAGCUAAUACCGCAUAAUAUUAAUUAUUGCAUGGUAAUUAAUUGAAAGGUGCAAUUGCACCACUACCAGAUGGACCUGCGUUGUAUUAGCUAGUAGGUGAGGUAACGGCUCACCUAGGCGACGAUACAUAGCCGACCUGAGAGGGUGAUCGGCCACACUGGGACUGAGACACGGCCCAGACUCCUACGGGAGGCAGCAGUAGGGAAUCUUCGGCAAUGGACGAAAGUCUGACCGAGCAACGCCGCGUGAGUGAAGAAGGUUUUCGGAUCGUAAAGCUCUGUUGUAAGAGAAGAACGGGUGUGAGAGUGGAAAGUUCACACUGUGACGGUAUCUUACCAGAAAGGGACGGCUAACUACGCG
rnacentral:rRNA from 1 species